ACCACAACUGGAGAGAGCACUUUUGCGGCUAUACUUUUCACAUACUGCUUACUGGAUUCUAACUUGGGAUGAAGGAGUUAUUGGAUUUUGAAGUCAGUGCAUGCAAUCUAAUGGUAGUAAGUAAACCGAUUUACUAGUGUUUGUCUCUUGAGCUAUAUCUUGAGCAAUUUGACAAGGUUUUGGCUCAAAAUUUCAAGGGAUGUGUAAUUUCAUGUUAGUUAACUUUGUGCAUAUGUUUUAUGACAUUUAGAGUUCGGAUUUGUGAGAUAUAAGGAAAAUAGUUUUUCGGGUGCUUGUAAAAUAGGGUUUGGAGUGUCUGUUAGGGUUUCUUAGAUGCCAGAAGAUCGGGAGUGAAUUUUCGGUUGGUUUUUUUUUGGUAAAAUUUAAGGGUAAAUUCUACAUAUCUUAUAAAUUUGAAACAAACUGAAUGGUUAGAUCAAUAGUUAUGAUUUUCUAAAGUUUGGAGGCGAGAAAAUC
rnacentral:lncRNA from 1 species